GAUGAACGCUAGCGGCAGGCUUAACACAUGCAAGUCGAGGGGUAUAGGUUUUCGGACCUAGAGACCGGCGCACGGGAGCGUAACGCGUAUGCAAUCUACCUUUCACAGAGGGAUAGCCCAGAGAAAUUUGGAUUAAUACCUCAUAGUAUAGCAGUUUCGCAUGAAACCACUAUUAAAGUAUCAACGGCGAAAGAUGAGCAUGCGUCCCAUUAGCUAGAUGGUAAGGUAACGGCUUACCAUGGCUACGAUGGGUAGGGGUCCUGAGAGGGAGAUCCCCCACACUGGUACUGAGACACGGACCAGACUCCUACGGGAGGCAGCAGUGAGGAAUAUUGGUCAAUGGACGCAAGUCUGAACCAGCCAUGCCGCGUGCAGGAUGACGGUCCUAUGGAUUGUAAACUGCUUUUGUACGAGAAGAAACAACAUUACGUGUAAUGUCUUGACGGUAUCGUAAGAAUAAGGAUCGGCUAACUCCGUGCCAGCAGCCGCGGUAACAC
rnacentral:rRNA from 1 species